rnacentral:misc_RNA from 1 species
GCUUACCAAACAUAGUUCAGUGUUCACUUCCUUGCCUUGCCAGUUGCCAGUGAAGCGAAAAAGAGAGAGAAGUGAUGGAGGAGGAUCGCGAGUGGGUGGUGGUGCGGCGACCGCCGGAGAAGGACUGGUGGAAACCGAGUUUGAUGGAUGACAAGGACGACAAUGAUGAUGGAGAGAGUUCUAGUUUGAAGAUUACUUUUGGUGGACCGGCGAAGUACUGGACGGAUGCCAUUCCCAUUGGAAAUGGCCGCAUUGGUGCCAUGAUCUGGGGCGGUGUUGCAUCUGAAACUCUGCAGCUCAAUGAUGAUACACUCUGGACUGGAACCCCUGGAAAUUAUACUAACCCUAAUGCUCCAGAGGCACUAUCAGAGGUCAGAAAACUUGUUGAUGAUGGAAAGUAUGCAGAAGCUACUACAGCAGCGGUCAAGUUAUCAGGAAACCCUUCUGAUGUUUACCAACUUAUUGGUGAUAUCAAGUUAGAAUUUGAUGAUUCCCAUCUGAAAUAUGAUGAGAAAACUUACCACAGAGAGCUUGACUUGGAUACUGCCACAGCGAGAGUAAAAUAUUCUGUGGGUGAUGUAGAAUACACAAGGGAACAUUUUGCUUCUAAUCCCGAUCAAGUGAUUGUGACAAAGAUUUCUGGAAGCAAAUCAGGUUCUGUAUCAUUUACAGUGUCUCUAGACAGCAAGAUGCAUCCUCAUUCUUAUGUAAAAGGUGAAAAUCAGAUUGUAAUAGAUGGAAGUUGUCCUGGAAAAAGGAUACCUCCAAAACUGAAUGCCAAUGAAAAUCCUGAGGGAAUUCAUUUUACUGCAAUUCUCAAUUUACAAAUUAGUGAAGGAAAAGGAAUGAUACAUGUUUUGGAUGGCAAGAAAUUGAAGGUGGAAGGUUCAGACUGGGUAGUUUUACUGUUAGCAGCUUCAUCUUCAUUUGAUGGGCCAUUUACUAAGCCUAAUGAUUCCAAGAAGGAUCCUACUUCAGAGUCCCUCAGUGCUUUGAAUUUAAUAAGAAAUUUGUCAUAUAAUGAUUUAUAUGUGCGUCAUUUGGAUGAUUAUCAGAAUCUCUUUCAUCGUGUCUCGCUUAAGCUUUCAAAAAGCUCAAAGAGCAAUUUAGGAAAUGGACCUCUGGAUAUGAAGAAACUCAUGGCUUUUAAAUUUAAUUCAUUCUUCAAGGGAAGUGAAGAUGAAACCAUUUCAACUGCAGAAAGGGUGAAAUCUUUUCAAACUAAUGAAGAUCCAUCCUUGGUGGAGCUUUUAUUCCAGUAUGGUCGAUAUUUGCUUAUUUCUUCUUCACGUCCUGGAACUCAGGUGGCAAAUUUGCAGGGUAUAUGGAAUAAGGACAUUGAGCCUCCAUGGGAUGGUGCUCAACAUCUGAACAUUAAUCUGCAAAUGAACUAUUGGCUGGCCCUUCCUUGCAAUCUUCGUGAGUGUCAAGAACCCUUGUUUGACUACACGUCUUCUCUAUCAAUCAAUGGGAGUAAGACAGCAAAAAUUAACUAUGAAGCAAAUGGUUGGGUGGUUCAUCAAGUGUCAGACAUAUGGGCUAAAACAUCACCAGAUAGAGGUGAAGCUGUGUGGGCAUUGUGGCCAAUGGGUGGAGCCUGGCUUUGUACACACUUGUGGGAGCAUUAUACUUACACCAUGGACAAAGUUUUUUUAAAAAAUAAGGCAUACCCUUUGUUGGAAGGAUGUACAAAAUUUCUGUUGGACUGGUUGCUUGAAGGGUCUGGAGGAUAUCUAGAAACUAAUCCAUCAACUUCCCCGGAACAUAUGUUUAUUGCUCCAGACGGUAAACCUGCUAGUGUGAGCUACUCAACAACCAUGGACAUGUCAAUCAUUAAAGAAGUAUUCUCUGCAAUUGUUUCUGCAGCAGAGGUUUUGGGAAGACAUGAGGAUGAACUUGUUCAAAAAGUCCGAGAGGCUCAACCAAGACUUUUACCGACAAAAAUUGCCAGAGAUGGUUCCAUUAUGGAAUGGGCUCAGGAUUUUGAGGACCCAGAGAUUCAUCAUCGACAUGUGUCUCACCUCUUUGGCCUGUUUCCAGGACAUACUAUAACUGUUGAGAAAACUCCAGACCUCUGUAAAGCUGCUGACUAUACCCUUUUCAAAAGAGGAGAGGAAGGUCCUGGAUGGUCAACCAUGUGGAAAGCUGCUCUGUGGGCACGUCUACACAACAGUGAGCAUGCAUACCGAAUGGUCAAGCAUCUAUUUGACCUGGUUGAUCCAGAAAAUGAAAGUAAAUAUGAAGGAGGUCUAUAUAGUAACUUGUUCACCGCACACCCUCCUUUUCAAAUUGAUGCCAACUUUGGUUUUUCAGCAGCAAUUGCAGAAAUGCUGGUCCAGAGUACAGUUAAGGACUUGUACUUACUCCCGGCUCUUCCUCGGGAUAAAUGGGCUAAUGGUUGUGUCAAAGGGUUGAAGGCACGUGGUGGGGUGACUGUCAACAUAUGCUGGAAAGAAGGUGAUCUUCAUGAAGUUGGUCUUUGGUCAAAGGAACACAAUUCUCUUAAACGAUUACAUUAUAGAGGAACUGUUGUGAAUGCACAUAUUUCAUCUGGUAGAGCAUACACAUUCAAUAGACAGUUAAGAUGCAUAGAGACAUACUAUCUAUCAGAAGCGGCUUCUUGUUGAAUCGUGCGUUCAAGUAGGUCUUAGAAAGGGCAUUAUUUGGAUCUUCCCUAAUAAUUUGAGGAAUGAACUAGGAAUGCUUUAUUUAUCUGUUAUUCUUUUUCUAAUCCUGAUUCUGGGCAAAUAAGCAAUUAGCCUUGAGGUUUGGUUGAAGAGAAUCUGCUAUGCAUACAUUUUUCUUGUUAAUUACUGUAAAGACAAUUGUGUCCAAAUGGAUUGAAAGAUUUAUGACCAUUCAGCAGUUGGUAAAUAAUGAUUUUGCAUGCUUUCAAGGUAUAUAGGUAUAAACUGUAAUUCCAUUAUCAAUGUUGCUGUUUAAUAAUGAGUUCAUU